UCUCUCUUGGUAUAUCGGUAGAACAUAACCCUGUCAUAAAAAGCACGGUUGAGAGCUGGGUUCGACUCCCAGAGGGAGAG